ACACACACACACACACACACACACACACACACAGAGAGAGAGAGAUACACACACACACACAGAGAGAGACACACACACACACACACACACACACACACACACACACACACACACACAGAGAGAGAGAGGUAUACACACACACAGAGAGAGAGGUAUACACACACACACAGAGAGAGAGGUAUACACACACACAGAGAGAGAGAGGUAUACACACACACACAGAGAGAGAGAGGUAUACACACACACACAGAGAGAGAUAUACACACACACACACAGAGAGAGAGAUACACACACACACACAGAGAGAGAGAGACACACACACACACACACACACAGAGACACACACACACACACACACACACACACAC